rnacentral:rRNA from 1 species
UGGGGAAUAUUGCACAAUGGGCGAAAGCCUGAUGCAGCAACGCCGCGUGAGUGAUGAAGGCCUUCGGGUUGUAAAGCUCUGUCUUUUGGGACGAUAAUGACGGUACCAAAGGAGGAAGCCACGGCUAACUACGUGCCAGCAGCCGCGGUAAUACGUAGGUGGCAAGCGUUGUCCGGAUUUACUGGGCGUAAAGGAUGCGUAGGCGGAUUUUUAAGUGAGAUGUGAAAACCCUAAGCUUAACUUGGGGACUGCAUUUCAUACUGGAAAUCUAGAGUGCGGGAGAGGAGAAUGGAAUUCCUAGUGUAGCGGUGAAAUGCGUAGAGAUUAGGAAGAACACCAGUGGCGAAGGCGAUUCUCUGGACCGUAACUGACGCUGAGGCAUGAAAGCGUGGGUAGCAAACAGGAUUAGAUACCCUGGUAGUCCACGCCGUAAAACGAUGAGUACUAGGUGUAGGAGGUAUCGACCCCUUCUGUGCCGCAGUUAACACAAUAAGUACUCCGCCUGGGAAGUACGAUCGCAAGAAUUAAAAAC